rnacentral:rRNA from 1 species
AUUGAACGCUGGCGGAAUGCUUUACACAUGCAAGUCGAACGGCAGCACGGGGGCAGCCCUGGUGGCGAGUGGCGAACGGGUGAGUAAUACAUCGGAACGUGCCCGGUCGUGGGGGAUAACGUAGCGAAAGUUACGCUAAUACCGCAUACGAUCUGAGGAUGAAAGCGGGGGACCUUCGGGCCUCGCGCGAUCGGAGCGGCCGAUGUCAGAUUAGGUAGUUGGUGGGGUAAAGGCCUACCAAGCCGACGAUCUGUAGCUGGUCUGAGAGGACGACCAGCCACACUGGGACUGAGACACGGCCCAGACUCCUACGGGAGGCAGCAGUGGGGAAUUUUGGACAAUGGGCGCAAGCCUGAUCCAGCCAUUCCGCGUGCAGGACGAAGGCCUUCGGGUUGUAAACUGCUUUUGUACGGAACGAAAAGGCUCUGGCUAAUACCUGGGGCUCAUGACGGUACCGUAAGAACAAGCACCGGCUAACUACGUG